UACGUAGGGGGCUAGCGUUGUCCGGAAUCAUUGGGCGUAAAGCGCGUGUAGGCGGUUCGGUAAGUCCGCUGUGAAAGUCGGGGGCUCAACCCUCGGAUGCCGGUGGAUACUGUCGGACUAGAGUACGGAAGAGGCGAGUGGAAUUCCUGGUGUAGCGGUGAAAUGCGUAGAUAUCAGGAGGAACACCGGUGGCGAAGGCGGAUCUCUGGACCAGUUCUGACACUGAUGAGCGAAAGCCAGGGGAGCAAACAGG
rnacentral:rRNA from 1 species